UGCUGGGCGGAUUAGUGGCGAACGGGUGAGUAAUACGUGAGUAACCUGCCCUUGACUCUGGGAUAAGCCUGGGAAACUGGGUCUAAUACUGGAUACUACCUCUUACCGCAUGGUGGGUGGUGGAAAGGGUUUUACUGGUUUUGGAUGGGCUCACGGCCUAUCAGCUUGUUGGUGGGGUAAUGGCUCACCAAGGCGACGACGGGUAGCCGGCCUGAGAGGGUGACCGGCCACACUGGGACUGAGACACGGCCCAGACUCCUACGGGAGGCAGCAGUGGGGAAUAUUGCACAAUGGGCGGAAGCCUGAUGCAGCGACGCCGCGUGAGGGAUGACGGCCUUCGGGUUGUAAACCUCUUUCAGUAGGGAAGAAGCGAGAGUGACGGUACCUGCAGAAGAAGCGCCGGCUAACUACGUGCCAGCAGCCGCGGUAAUACGUAGGGCGCAAGCGUUGUCCGGAAUUAUUGGGCGUAAAGAGCUCGUAGGCGGUUUGUCGCGUCUGCUGUGAAAGCCCGGGGCUCAACCCCGGGUCUGCAGUGGGUACGGGCAGACUAGAGUGCAGUAGGGGAGACUGGAAUUCCUGGUGUAGCGGUGAAAUGCGCAGAUAUCAGGAGGAACACCGAUGGCGAAGGCAGGUCUCUGGGCUGUUACUGACGCUGAGGAGCGAAAGCAUGGGGAGCGAACAGGAUUAGAUACCCUGGUAGUCCAUGCCGUAAACGUUGGGCACUAGGUGUGGGGGACAUUCCACGUUUUCCGCGCCGUAGCUAACGCAUUAAGUGCCCCGCCUGGGGAGUACGGCCGCAAGGCUAAAACUCAAAGGAAUUGACGGGGGCCCGCACAAGCGGCGGAGCAUGCGGAUUAAUUCGAUGCAACGCGAAGAACCUUACCAAGGCUUGACAUUCACCGGACCGCCCCAGAGAUGGGGUUUCCCUUCGGGGCUGGUGGACAGGUGGUGCAUGGUUGUCGUCAGCUCGUGUCGUGAGAUGUUGGGUUAAGUCCCGCAACGAGCGCAACCCUCGUUCUAUGUUGCCAGCACGUGAUGGUGGGGACUCAUAGGAGACUGCCGGGGUCAACUCGGAGGAAGGUGGGGAUGACGUCAAAUCAUCAUGCCCCUUAUGUCUUGGGCUUCACGCAUGCUACAAUGGCCGGUACAAAGGGUUGCGAUACUGUGAGGUGGAGCUAAUCCCAAAAAGCCGGUCUCAGUUCGGAUUGAGGUCUGCAACUCGACCUCAUGAAGUCGGAGUCGCUAGUAAUCGCAGAUCAGCAACGCUGCGGUGAAUACGUUCCCGGGCCUUGUACACACCGCCCGUCAAGUCACGAAAGUUGGUAACACCCGAAGCCGGUGGCCUAACCCCUU
rnacentral:rRNA from 1 species